rnacentral:rRNA from 1 species
UACAGAGGGUGCAAGCGUUAAUCGGAAUUACUGGGCGUAAAGCGCACGUAGGCGGCUUGGUAAGUUGGAUGUGAAAUCCCCGGGCUUAACUUGGGAAUUGCAUUCAAGACUGCCUUGCUAGAGUGUUGGAGAGGGAAGCGGAAUUCCAGGUGUAGCGGUGAAAUGCGUAGAUAUCUGGAGGAACAUCAGUGGCGAAGGCGGCUUUCUGGCCAAACACUGACGCUGAGGUGCGAAAGCGUGGGGAGCAAACAGG